rnacentral:rRNA from 1 species
GGUUUCCGUAGGUGAACCUGCGGAAGGAUCAUUAAUGAAAGUUACAAUAGACUGUUGCUGGCUAGGUGAUUCUAGCAUUCGUGCACGUCUACACUUUUCUACACCUGUGCACCUAUUGUAGAUCGCAAGAUCUAUGUCUUUUCAUAAUCAACACUAUUGUAUGUCUAUAGAAUGUCAAGCCCAAAAUUAUUACAACUUUCAGCAAUGGAUCUCUUGGUUCUCGCAUCGAUGAAGAACGCAGCGAAUUGCGAUACGUAAUGUGAAUUGCAGAUUUUCAGUGAAUCAUCGAAUCUUUGAACGCACCUUGCGCUCCUUGGUAUUCCGAGGAGCAUGCCUGUUUGAGUGUCAUUUAAUUAUCAACCAAGAUUAGUUUCUUGGCUUGGACUUGGGAUUUGCUGGCUCUCUAGUCAGCUUUCCUUAAAUGCAUUAGCAAAUCGAGUCGACGUGGGCACGGCCUGUUCUGACGUGAUAAUGAUCGUCUUGGGCUGGAAAGCGUUUAUGGCAAAGUUUGCUUAUAAUACCAUGUGGUACGGCCUGUUGUGGGCUGGAAGCAAUUUAUUUAAUUUUUGACCUCAAAUCAGGUAGGACUACCCGCUGAACUUAAGCAUAUCAU